GGUCUCGUAGUGUAGUGGUUAUCACGUUCGCUUUACACGCGAAAGGUCCCCGGUUCGAGCCCGGGCGAGACCA